GCCGAAGUAGCUCAGUGGUAGAGCAGAUGUAUCGUAAACAUCAGGUCGUGGGUUCAACUCCCACCUUCGGCUCCA
rnacentral:tRNA from 1 species